UUACGGUCAAAUCACGCUGAAAACACCGGUUCUCGUUCGAUCACCGAAGUUAAGCAUCGUAGAGCCAGGUCAGUACUUAGAUGGGGGUGCGCUUGGGAACACCUGGUACUGUAAA